UACGAAGGGGGCUAGCGUUGCUCGGAAUCACUGGGCGUAAAGGGUGCGUAGGCGGGUCUUUUAAGUCAGGGGUGAAAUCCUGGAGCUCAACUCCAGAACUGCCUUUGAUACUGAAGAUCUUGAGUUCGGGAGAGGUGAGUGGAACUGCGAGUGUAGAGGUGAAAUUCGUAGAUAUUCGCAAGAACACCAGUGGCGAAGGCGGCUCACUGGCCCGGUACUGACGCUGAGGUGCGAAGGCGUGGGGAGCAAACAGG
rnacentral:rRNA from 1 species